rnacentral:RNase_P_RNA from 1 species
AAAGCAGGCCGUUCUAUCGCUCCUUCGGGGGAGGAAAGUCCGGACAACAAAGAGCAACGUACUUCUGAAAGAGAAGAUAUCCGUGAGGGUAUAGCAGUGCAACAGAAAAUAACCGCUUUGCUUGUCAAAGUAAGGGUGAAAAGGUGGAGUAAGAGCCUACCAGUGUUGCAGGCGACUGUAACAGCUGUGUGCCUUACGUGUUGCAAGACCAUGUAUACCGACGCAUUAGGGCUGCUCGCUUUAUGUCGGGGGGUAGGUCGCAUUAGAUAAAUGAUAGAAGCCUUUAGGAACAGAAUCCGGCUUACAGGCCUGCUUUUUUU